rnacentral:misc_RNA from 1 species
GAUGAAGAACGUAGCGAAAUGCGAAAAGUAAUGUGAAUUGCAGAAUUCAGUGAACCAUCGAAUCUUUGAACGCACAUUGCGCCCGCUGGAACUCCGGCGGGCACGCCUGUCCGAGCGUCAUUUCAACCCUCAGGCCCCCCUUCGCGGGCGGGCCUGGUGUUGGGGCCCGGCCGCUACCCUGCGGCCGUCCCCUAAAUCUAGUGGCGGACCCGUCGUGGCCUCCCCUGCGAAGUAGUGAUAUUCCGCAUAGGAGAGCGACGAGCCCCUGCCGUUAAACCCCCAACUUUCUAAGGUUGACCUCAGAUCAGGUAGGAAUACCCGCUGAACUUAAGCAUAUCAAUAAGCGGAGGA